rnacentral:lncRNA from 1 species
CAUGCAGCACUUGUGAGAAUAAAUUGGUGCCACUUUGGAAACACUUCAAGAUGUGUAUAAUAAAGGUCUUAAAAUGUUCAUAUCUUUGGCCCAGUAAUUCCAAUUCUGAGAAUCUAGUCUAAGGAAAUAUUGAAUGUUAAUGCAAAGGUAUUAGUCCAAGUGAUAUUUGUAAAAAAUCUAGGAGUUCCCAUCAUGGUGCAGCAGAAAUUAAUCCGUCUAGGAACCAUGAGGUUGCGGGUUUGAUCCCAGGCCUCACUCUGUAGGUUAACGAUCCGGCAUUGCCGUGAGCUGUGGUGUAGGUUGCAGGCAUGCCUCAGAUGUCGCAUUGCUGUGACUAUGGUGUAGACCGGCAGCAACAGCUCUGAUUUGACCCCUAGCCUGGGAAACCUACAUAUGCCAUUUUUUUUUUUGACAAAAGACAAAAAUAAAUAAAUAAAUAUAUAAAAAAAUCUAAAAAUUGUCCUCUCUGAGUAGAAUGAUUGCAUAAUAGUACAUCAAUAUGAUGGGUUUUAUAUCACCAUUAAAAAACACAUUUUAAAAGAAUUUUUAGUGACAGGAAAAAUUCACAACUGAAAAAAUAAGGCAUCUAACCAUAUGUAUAAAAAUUUGCCGUAGAAAUACACAAUAUACAUGUAUUUAUGUAUAUAUGCAUAUAUAUACACAUGUAUAUAUACCUGUAUAUGCAUAAAUAUACAUAGAUUUUUAUAUAUGCACACAUACAUGUACACUCAUUAAUAAAACAAGAGACACAUCUAAAUGUUGAGUAAGUAUCUUCAGGCUUUUCUUUUUGCAUUUUCCAAAUUUUUUAGAAGUCAGGUAAUUCUAAAGCCAUAAAAUAGAUCCUUAACCCACUGAGCAAAGCCAGGGAUCGAACCCGCAACCUCAUGAUUCCUAGUCAAAUUCAUUUCCACUGUGCCACAAUGGGAACUCCCUAAAUAGCUUUUUAAACACCUUGAGAGAACCAUGUUCCACAGUACAGGUUUUGAUUCCUGUAGCAGAUUAGUACUGACAAGUUGGAGGGUUGAGCACCCUGACAGCUGAGAAAAAUGUCAAAUGUCCAGCUGAGGUGGAGGUGGGGCAAUUGACAAGAAGAACUGAGCCAAAAAAGCACAACUAAGGAGGGGCCUGAUGGGCAGGCCAGUCAGAAUCAGUCCAUCCACCAGCCCGUCCCUGGGACCCUCUAGAAGAGGCACACAGAGCCCCGUGGGCUUCAGUUUGUCCUGAGGACAUUACUAUACCAUAGUGAGUGUUUUUAAUUGUUAGCCUUGUUAUAUAGUAAUAUAGUAAUAACCUGAUAAUCCUGACUCAUCCAUGAACUCCUACAGAAUUUUGUUGUACUCUUGUGAAGGAAUUCAGUAGUUGCUCAAUAUAAUGGGGAGAAUUCAGAUAGUGAUGUCAAGCUGACCUGGAUUCAAAUCCAGGCUCUCACAUGUAGCUUUAACUCUUGGGCAACCCCUUAAGCUCUCCUACCCUGUUUCCUCUGUAAAAUUAUAACAAUACCCAGUUUCUAGGGUAUAGGUCAUAUAUUUAAAAUGCUAAUAAAGUGCUUGGUACUUAAUAAGUAGUCAAUCCCCUAUUCAGAAGAAGAGCUGCCUCAGGUUUUCAUGAAUAUUGAAGUUUUCUGUCUCUGAGGUUUUAGUGAUAAAGCUGGUAUUCAGAUCUAAUCACCCCUGAAAUUGCUAUAGCAAAAUGAAGCCACCCACCCAGUGUGGAGUAUUGUUUACUCUGUUGCUCUUUGUUUCCUACAGAGCAUUAACUUUAUUUUUCAUCUUCAUCUGCCUGAAAUCUUUAAUUCCCAGUCUUUCCAUUUUGUUUGGUGAAUUGAGAAAAUCCCAUACCACCACCUCCUGCCCCUUUUUCUUAUUAAAACCUGCCCUAGAACUCUUACUUACCUGAAAUGCAUUUGAACCUUCUGCAGUCCAAAAUAACAGGGUGUAAUUAUUCUAAAAGAGCUCUCCACUGGAUCUGAGAAGCCAUUGUUUUGAGAAUGUGAGCUGUGGCUGGUGGAAGUGGCAAGUUCAGACUCACAGUGCAGGACAGUGUGCUGAAGCAGCCCGGUGGGCUCACGUACUGCAACCUCACAUGGAGGUGGGUAGUGCUCUGUUUUGAACCCCAGCCCCUUAAAGGAGAUUUCCAAACCAUCAUAAUUGCAAAGAAACCACUCAUUUCCUUAAAUAAGUUUAUGAAAAUGAAUUAUUUCUUGGAAGCUUUUAAUAUUUUCAGUUUUAAAUAUUAAGCCCUACAUGUUCCAUAGUAUAUUGUAUUCAGUAAGCCCUUAUUUAUCUGUAAGACAUGUCUAGAAUUUCUAUCAAACAAAUGUCAGAGAAGAGACAAGAUACAGUACAAAUAAAAUGAAUACCAAACUCUGAUAGGAAAUAGCAAUCCCUGAUUUGCUUUUCUCAGGGGGUGUUAAGAAACAGUGCUCUGAUGCUGUGGCAGUUCAUGAGUAUCUGUACACCAAGCACAAAUUAUUGGCAGUUCUUAGUUAUUGGUAACAUUUACUGAGUACCGGUGUGCAUGAUACUGACUAAGCACUUUGUAUCACCUCUUGUAAUCCUUACAGCAGUCCUAAAAGUCUGUCACCAUUAUUAUCCCCACUGUACAGAUGAAGCAGCUGAGGCUUUGAGAGUUUAUGAAACUUAUUCUACCAGAAUGUAGACACUGUCCUCCAUAGCAGAAGCUCUUGUGCCUAGAAUGGGGCCUGCUGCAGAGGAGAUACUCAACUUAGAUGCCAAAUUUACUCAAGUUCACACAUCUGGUUAGAAUUCAGGGAUUGACAAGGAAUUCCAUUCCAAGGGACUGUCGGACCCUAAAGCCUAUGGCUUAAAUUUACUUAUUUUCCUACCCCUCCCCUCCAUCAAUCAGCCCUGUGUUAGUUUCAGGGAAAUAGAGGAUGUGAUCCUCACCCUCUAGAUGCAUAAGCCAACGAAGAAGCUUACAACCCAGUAAAAAUGUUCCAAGUAUACUUGCUAAGUUUCAGCAUAGGAGUUGAGGCAACUAGGCACUAAAACACCCAGUUCUGCCCUAAGUGUUUGUUAAUUGGGCUUCAGGUUUAGCUGCU